AACGAACGCUGGCGGCAUGCCUAACACAUGCAAGUCGAGCGCGAAAGUGCCUUCGGGCGCGAGUAGAGCGGCGGACGGGUGCGUAACGCGUAGGAAUCUGCCUGGUAGUGGGGGAUAACUCGGGGAAACUCGAGCUAAUACCGCAUACGCCCCAUGGGGGAAAGCGGGGGACCUUCGGGCCUCGCGCUAUCAGAUGAGCCUGCGUCGGAUUAGCUAGUUGGUAGGGUAAUGGCCUACCAAGGCGACGAUCCGUAGCUGGUCUGAGAGGAUGAUCAGCCACACUGGGACUGAGACACGGCCCAGACUCCUACGGGAGGCAGCAGUGGGGAAUAUUGGACAAUGGGCGCAAGCCUGAUCCAGCCAUGCCGCGUGAGUGAUGAAGGCCUUCGGGUUGUAAGACUCUUUCGUCACGCGACGAUGAUGACGGUAGCGUGAGAAGAAGACCCGGCUAACUUCGUGCCAGCAGCCGCGGUAA
rnacentral:rRNA from 1 species